rnacentral:rRNA from 1 species
GGCGACCGCUAUUGGAGUUCGAUUAAGCCAUGCGAGUAGAAAGAAAUUAGAUUCUUUGCAUACUGCUCAGUAACACGUGGAUAACCUGCCCUACACUGGGGGAUAAUCUCGGGAAACUGAGCAUAAUACCCCAUAGACCACUACGCCUGGAACGGUGAGUGGUUGAAAGCUUCGGCGGUGUAGGAUGGGUCUGCGGCGUAUCAGGUUGUAGGGGGUGUAAUGGACCUCCUAGCCAUCGACGCGUACGGGUUGUGGGAGCAAUAGCCCGGAGACGGAUUCUGAGACACGAAUCCGGACCCUACGGGGUGCAGCAGGCGCGAAAACUUCACACUGCAGGAAACUGUGAUGAGGGAACUCCAAGUGACUGCACAAUGUGUAGCCUUUUCUUGAAUUUUAAUAGUUCUUGGAAUAAGGGCUGGGAAAGACCGGUGCCAGCCGCCGCGGUAAUACCGGCAGCUCGAGUGGUCGUCGCUUUUAUUGGGCCUAAAACGUCCGUAGCCUGUUUGGUAAAUCUGUGGGUAAAUCAAUCCGCUUAACGGAUUGAAUUCUGCAGAGACUGCCAGACUAGGGACCGGGAGAGGUAUGAGGUACUCUGGGGGUAGGGGUAAAAUCCUGUCAUCCUCAGAGGACCACCUGUUGCGAAGGCGUCAUACUGGAACGGAUCCGACGGUCAGGGACGAAGCCUAGGGGCACGAACCGGAUUAGAUACCCGGGUAGUCCUAGGUGUAAACGCUGUGGAUUUGGUGUGUGGGGUCCGCAAUGGGCCCCAUGUGCCGGAGUGAAGAUGUUAAAUCCACUGCCCUGGGGAGUACGGUCGCAAGGCUGAAACUUAAAGGAAUUGGCGGGGGAGCACUGCAACGGGAGGAGCGUGCGGUUUAAUUGGAUUCAACGCCGGAAAACUCACCAAGGCCGACUGUUAGAUGAAGAUCAGCGUAACGAGCUUAUUGGAUUAUCAGAGAGGUGGUGCAUGGCCGUCGUCAGUUCGUACUGUAAAGCGUUCUGUUAAGUCAGAUAACGAACGAGACCCGCAUCCUUAUUUGCGACCCUCAUGUCCGCAUGAGGCGCACCAUAGGGAGAUCGCUGGUGUGAAACCAGAUGAGAGCGCGGGCAACGACAGGUCAGUAUGCCCCGAAUGUCUUGGGCUACACGCGCGCUACAAAGGACAGGACAAUGGGAAGCCACGCCGAGAGGCGGCGCUACCCCGAAACCUGUUCGUAGUUCGGAUCGAGGGCUGUAACUCGCCCUCGUGAAGCUGGAUUCCGUAGUAAUCGUGUUUCAACAUAGCACGGUGAAUAUGCCCCUGCUCCUU